ACUUGCAGCUGCAGCAUUAUCAAGAUUCACAUAGAAAUCAUGUGGAGCAGAAAAUAUGUUUCUAAAAAUCUGCCACCCCUAAGUUUUUUUUGAAUAUGAGAAUCAUGAUGAUGCUGCAUCAGCAAAUAA
rnacentral:pre_miRNA from 1 species